UGGAGGACUGUGGGUAUUAGGUGUCCAAGAAGAAAGCUCAAAUCUGCCGAGGGCAGGUACCUUACUUGAGAUUUACUCUCUGACAGGGGUCCGACGCCACCUGGGAACAGAAAGAAAGCAGGUUAUUUGCAAUCUCCCGGAGCCUAAGUGCCUAAGGCAGGCGAGAGAAUUCUCAGGGGAUGUGGGGUUUUGUAGACUGUGGAUCCCAAACUUUGCAGUAUUAGCCAAGCCUUUGUAUG
rnacentral:lncRNA from 1 species